CAAGUCGAGGGUAGAGAAGCUUGCUCCUUGAGACCGGCGCACGGGUGCGUAACGCGUAUGCAAUCUACCUUAUACAGGGGGAUAGCCCAGAGAAAUUUGGAUUAAUACCCCAUAGUAUAAUUGAAUGGCAUCAUUUAAUUAUUAAAGUUCCAACGGUAUAAGAUGAGCAUGCGUCCCAUUAGCUAGUUGGUGUGGUAACGGCACACCAAGGCGACGAUGGGUAGGGGUCCUGAGAGGGAGAUCCCCCACACUGGUACUGAGACACGGACCAGACUCCUACGGGAGGCAGCAGUGAGGAAUAUUGGUCAAUGGGCGCAAGCCUGAACCAGCCAUGCCGCGUGCAGGAUGACGGUCCUAUGGAUUGUAAACUGCUUUUGUACAGGAAGAAACACUCCCUCGUGAGGGAGCUUGACGGUACUGUAAGAAUAAGGAUCGGCUAACUCCGUG
rnacentral:rRNA from 1 species